rnacentral:misc_RNA from 1 species
AAUGAACCACGGAACUAGAAUCACCAAGUCAAGGCGACCCUAGGACAAGAAUCGCGCCAGAGGACGGCACACAGACGUUCACACGUCGGCGCAUGGAAUAGGGAUCAUAACUUAAGAAUGGCAUGUGAAGGCGACGUGCUUCAAGUCCGGUCACCGGACUUUGAGGGACGGCCGAUCAGUACCUGGGCCUCCUUUUGAGGCUAGUUGUGAGGUAUUUUGAUAGUCCUAGGAGGUCCUCCUAGUUUACAGUGAGCCGAUGACCUAGAAUAGGGAACGGGAGAAAAUUUUCAACGGGAAAAAAAAAACUUCG